CCUACGGGUGGCAGCAGUGAGGAAUAUUGGUCAAUGGGCGUAAGUCUGAACCAGCCAAGUAGCGUGAAGGAUGACUGCCCUAUGGGUUGUAAACUUCUUUUAUAUGGGAAUAAAAUGUUCCACGUGUGGGGUUUUGUAGAUACCGUGUGAAUAAGGAUCGGCUAAAUCCGUGCCAGCAACCGCGGUAAUAAGGAGGGUCCGGGCGUUAUCCGGGUUUAUUGGGGUUAAAGGGAGCGUAGGGGGAUUGUUAAGUGAGUUGUGAAAGGUUGCGGCUCAACCGUAGAAUGGCAGUUGAAACUGGCAGUCUUGAGUACACGAGAGGUGUGCGGAAUUCGUGGUGUAGCGGUGAAAUGCUUAGAUAUCACGAAGAACUCCGAUUGCGAAGGCAGCAUACGGGAGCGCAACUGACACUGAGGCUCGAAAGUGUGGGUAUCGAACAGGAUUAGAUACCCUGGUAGUC
rnacentral:rRNA from 1 species